UAAUCUUCCCCAAGUCUCCUCCGACGAUCUAGGCGUCCUCCGGUCGGUUUUUUGUUAUAUCAAAGGUAAAUAUUGUCUUUAUCUUCUUCUUCAUCUUUCUCUCUUCUUUUUGAUUUAUUUCCUCUUCCUCUUCUUCUUCUUCUUCUUAUUCUCGUUUUUCAUCUUCUUCUUCAUGUAAUCUUCUUUUUUUGAUUUGGGGUUUAUUGAUUUUGUG
rnacentral:lncRNA from 1 species